GGCGGUGUUUGGCACCUCGAUGUCGGCUCAUCACAUCCUGGGGCUGAAGUAGGUCCCAAGGGUAUGGCUGUUCGCCAUUUAAAGUGGUACGCGAGCUGGGUUUAGAACGUCGUGAGACAGUUCGGUCCCUAUCUGCCGUGGGCGCUGGAGAACUGAGGGGGGCUGCUCCUAGUACGAGAGGACCGGAGUGGACGCAUCACUGGUGUUCGGGUUGUCAUGCCAAUGGCACUGCCCGGUAGCUAAAUGCGGAAGAGAUAAGUGCUGAAAGCAUCUAAGCACGAAACUUGCCCCGAGAUGAGUUCUCCCUGACUCCUUGAGAGUCCUGAAGGAACGUUGAAGACGACGACGUUGAUAGGCCGGGUGUGUAAGCGCAGCGAUGCGUUGAGCUAACCGGUACUAAUGAACCGUGAGGCUUAACCUU
rnacentral:rRNA from 1 species